rnacentral:lncRNA from 1 species
AGCUUCAGCCAGAUAACAAGACCCUUGAUGAAUAAAACUAGCUUCCUUAGUACCUGGUAUAAAAAUAAAAGAUUGAGCAUCAUUUUCGAAUAUAAUCAGAUUUACACUGUUCAGGCUUGAAGCCCAAGAUUUCUAGUGUGAGAAGGCAUGUUAGAGAUAUAUAACCAUUAUUAGGCCUCCACCUGAAAACUUGACCAUUUGAAGAGUAGGUCCUCAAUAGACACCAAUAAAUACAAGCUUAUACAAAAAAAAAAUGUUUUCAUUUCCUAUUUUCACUAAUAAUUACAAAAGUGUUGUUUUGUUUUAGUUACUAUGUCAAAUACUUUACCGGAAACAAAGUGCAUCUUUGAAAUAAUUAGUAAAAAUAGAAUAAAGACAAAAAAUCUUUUCUCAAACCAAGUAGGCCCUAAAAUUUCCUUGCUAAUGAAGUUUCUCUCAAAAUAGAGAAAGCAAAGCAUAUAAAAGAGACAUGAUGAUUCAUUUAUGUUGGAAAAUACAUCAGUAGUUGAUUUUCCUAUGUUAUUGUUCCCUAUGAUAUUAUUUUCUAGUCAAAUCUAGAGAAUUCCAUUGUCAUUUUUCCAAUGUAACAAUUUUCUAGGCUAGUCUAAGAGAACAUUAAUUGUAUUCUCUCUAUAAAAACCAGCCUUUGGCUAAGGAAUAAAUCAUCAAAGUAUUAACCUAUUAUCUUUCAAUAAUUUAUUAAAAUGUCAAGCCUAAAUGUUCCAAGUCCCUUUUCUCCUGAAACAGUGAAGGGUAGAGUGAAUCAUCAAUGUGCAGAAUGCUUAAGUAAGGGGUACGUGUGUUUAGCCAUGCUAGGUAAAUAGUAGAAAAUAAAAGCUGAAUCUACUUAGAUAAACUUAAAACUUAUUUUUCUCAUCCAGCCUAGUAUUUGUACUUGAAUUCCGCUUUCUUGUGCUUUCGUAUUUCCCCAAACCUUCAUACAAAACCCCAUGUCUACUAAUCAGCUGUCCUAAUGGAAACUCGGAAAAAGGUAUUAGACAGGGAAUCAUAU